UACGGAGGGUGCAAGCGUUGUUCGGAAUUAUUGGGCGUAAAGCGCGCGCAGGCGGUCGGGUCAGUCCAUGGGUGAAAUGCCGGAGCUCAACUCCGUGCCCGCCCAGGAUACUGCCCGACUAGAGACACGUAGAGGCUGGCGGAAUUCCGGGUGUAGCGGUGGAAUGCGUAGAGAUCCGGAAGAACACCGGAGGCGAAGGCGGCCAGCUGGGCGUGGUUUGACGCUGAGGCGCGAAGGCGUGGGGAGCGAACAGG
rnacentral:rRNA from 1 species